UACGGGGGGGAGCAAGCGUUGUUCGGAUUUACUGGGCGUAAAGGGCGCGUAGGCGGCCACCGCAAGUCGACUGUGAAAUCUCCGGGCUUAACCCGGAAAGGUCAGCCGAUACUGCGGGGCUAGAGUGCAGAAGGGGCAACUGGAAUUCUCGGUGUAGCGGUGAAAUGCGUAGAUAUCAGGAGGAACACCGGUGGCGAAGGCGGAUCUCUGGGCCUUACCUGACGCUCAGGCGCGAAAAGCUAGGGGGAGCGAACAGGAUU
rnacentral:rRNA from 1 species